UACGUAGGGUCCGAGCGUUGUCCGGAAUUAUUGGGCGUAAAGAGCUCGUAGGCGGUUUGUCGCGUCUGCUGUGAAAUCCCGAGGCUCAACCUCGGGUCUGCAGUGGGUACGGGCAGACUGGAGUGCGGUAGGGGAGAAUGGAAUUCCUGGUGUAGCGGUGGAAUGCGCAGAUAUCAGGAGGAACACCGAUGGCGAAGGCAGUUCUCUGGGCUGUAACUGACGCUGAGGAGCGAAAGCGUGGGGAGCGAACAGG
rnacentral:rRNA from 1 species